rnacentral:lncRNA from 1 species
GCUGUUCGCUUUCAUCCUAUUCGGGUUAGCUGAUGAUUGAAUAGGGGCAGCUGUAACACCCCAAAAUUUGCCCUCCUCAUUCAUGUAUUCAUUUAGCAUUUCAUAUUGCAUUUCAUCAUGUCAAUCAGAAUUAGAUCCAAGAAACUUAAGAGGGAGAUCAGACAGAAAAAGGAAGAGAAGCAAAAAUACUCUGAGGUUUCCUUGAAACAAAACCCUGGACAAAACCUGGAGAGAAACCUGACA